GGAGGGCGGGGCCUGAUCUUCGCGACAGCCGGGAGGGGGCGCCUCUCCCAGCCCUCGGCCGUGUCCCGGUCUAACUCGCCCCCGUCUGCUCAGCGCUGUCAGCCUGCAGCUGGCACACAGAAUUCUGGGGAGACAUUGCCAAGGAAUUUUACUGGAAGACUCCAUGCCCUGGCCCAUUCCUUCGGUACAACUUUGAUGUGACUAAAGGGAAAAUCUUCAUUGAGUGGAUGAAAGGAGCAACUACCAACAUCUGCUACAAUGUACUGGAUCGAAAUGUCCAUGAGAAAAAGCUUGGAGAUAAAUUUGCUUUUUACUGGGAGGGCAAUGAGCCAGGGGAGACCACUCAGAUCACAUACCAUCAGCUUCUGGUCCAAGUGUGUCAGUUCAGCAAUGUUCUCCGAAAACAGGGCAUUCAGAAGGGGGACCGAGUGGCCAUCUACAUGCCUAUGAUCCCAGAGCUUGUGGUGGCCAUGCUGGCAUGUGCCCGCAUUGGGGCUUUGCACUCCAUUGUGUUUGCAGGCUUCUCUUCAGAGUCUCUAUGUGAACGGAUCUUGGAUUCCAGCUGCAGUC
rnacentral:sRNA from 1 species